rnacentral:rRNA from 1 species
GACGAACGCUGGCGGCGCGCCUAACACAUGCAAGUCGAGCGGACCGAGAGUAUUAGCUUGCUGAGACUCAAGGUUAGCGGCGGACGGGUGAGUAACGCGUGGGCAACCUACCCAAGAGGCUGGGAUAACACCGGGAAACUGGUGCUAAUACCGGAUACGCUCUCCGGAGGACAUCCUUUGGAGAGGAAAGGGGCAACCCGCUCCUGGAUGGGCCCGCGUCCCAUUAGCUAGUUGGAGAGGUAACGGCUCACCAAGGCGACGAUGGGUAGCCGGCCUGAGAGGGUGGUCGGCCACACUGGAACUGAGACACGGUCCAGACUCCUACGGGAGGCAGCAGUGGGGAAUCUUGCGCAAUGGAGGAAACUCUGACGCAGCGACGCCGCGUGGGUGAUGAAGGCCUUCGGGUCGUAAAGCCCUGUCGUAGGGACGAAAGUACAAUGACGGUACCCUACCAAGAAAGACCCGGCGUAACUAACCGUG